rnacentral:rRNA from 1 species
UACGUAGGGUCCGAGCGUUGUCCGGAAUUACUGGGCGUAAAGAGCUCGUAGGUGGUUUGUCGCGUUGUUCGUGAAAACUCACAGCUCAACUGUGGGCGUGCGGGCGAUACGGGCAGACUAGAGUACUGCAGGGGAGACUGGAAUUCCUGGUGUAGCGGUGGAAUGCGCAGAUAUCAGGAGGAACACCGGUGGCGAAGGCGGGUCUCUGGGCCGUUACUGACGCUGAGGAGCGAAAGCGUGGGGAGCGAACAGG